rnacentral:rRNA from 1 species
UACGUAGGGUCCGAGCGUUGUCCGGAAUUAUUGGGCGUAAAGAGCUCGUAGGCGGUUUGUCGCGUCUGCUGUGAAAUCCCGAGGCUCAACCUCGGGUCUGCAGUGGGUACGGGCAGACUGGAGUGCGGUAGGGGAGAAUGGAAUUCCUGGUGUAGCGGUGGAAUGCGCAGAUAUCAGGAGGAGCACCGAUGGCGAAGGCAGUUCUCUGGGCCGUAACUGACGCUGAGGAGCGAAAGCGUGGGGAGCGAACAGG